rnacentral:misc_RNA from 1 species
CUGACCUUGUUAGGUUAGGUGGCUUGUUGUCGAAGUCUAUGACGCCGAUGGUGUAUUUUGACGUGGCGACUACGUAUUCUGCUAAAUUAUCCACUCAGUUGCGGCAAAGUUGGUGACGAAAAAUACGUAACUGUAAUGUCUGACGGCAGUGGAGCUCACGGGGAGCUUGAAAAUGGAUCGCACGGCUUGCCAGUAAUCCAGGUGUCUAUCCCGAACCAACCCGUACAAGUCCAGUCAGUCAUUCAGUCAAAUCAACCAUCAGUCAUCCAUACUGCAGGGAACUUGGGCAAUGUUCAGACCAUCCAAGUAGUGAGGGUUGCUGCAGUAGAGGAUGAGCUGACAGCUGAAGAUCACGAUGCAGAUGCUAAAAAAAGGAGAGAAAUUCUUGCAAGAAGACCAUCAUACAGAAAAAUAUUUAAUGAACUUUCAUCACCUGUUUCGAAAAUGGACGAAGAAUCAAACAGUAGUCAGAGUCAAGACGGUGAAAUUAACGAGGCAGCACAGAAUCUGACCAGUUCUGCAAAUUCAGUAUAUCAACAAGCUACAGUGUUACCAUCAGGAGCUAUACAGAUAACAACACACCCAGAAGGAGUGGCAGUUUCCCAAGGUCUGCAAACACUCACCAUGAGUAAUUCAGGGACGGCAACAACCAAUGCUGGAGCAACAAUAGUUCAGUAUGCUCAAGGGCCAGAUGGCCAGUUUUAUAUCCCAGGCACGGUGGCCGUUGGCGGAACAAAUGUCCAGGCAUAUCAGAUAGCAACGGCUGGUGCUCUACCUCAGGGAGUGGUCGUAGCAGGAGCGGGUAGUCCAAUACAGAGCUCAGGCGGCCAUGGUGAAGAGGCAUCACGGAAAAGAGAGUUACGGCUCUUGAAAAAUAGAUGUUUCCUAUUACAUCAAAGCAGAAAUAUUGGUGCCAUUUUGUGGACUUGUUUUCAUCAAGUAGAAGUAUCUACAGAUUGUCUGCUAUCAUGAGAUACCGUGUCCACUAGUGGGAAAUGAGGUUUUGAGAAACAAUAAAGUUGACGGUGAAAUCUCAAGUUUGCCAACAAUUUUGUUCACCCCAUCAGAGAUGCUGCCCGAGAAUGUCGACGAAAAAAGAAAGAUUAUGUCAAGUGUUUAGAAAACAGAGUGGCUGUGUUAGAAAACCAGAACAAAACUUUAAUAGAAGAACUGAAGGC